CGGAAAAUCAAUACGUGUGUGUAUGAUGUGCUGCAACCACGCCAGCUCCUUUCCCUUCGCUAAAGAGGUACCUGAAACAAAAACUGUAAACUGUAAGCACUAAGCUUAGUGAGUUCCCCCAUUGUACCAAUUGAUUUUUGAUUAGUUGGCUAAUUUCUUGAUUAAGUAAAUGAUCCUCAAAUUAGCAAGCAACAAUUGAUUUUUGUGUUGUUUUUGCUUUACACAAUCAUAAAAACAUUUCCUCCAACAUGGUGGUGAAAGCUUUUGACCCCUCUUGGAUUUGGUGAUUUUUUGGUUCUUAAUGCUAGUUGACUUUCACUAAUUACAUGCUAUUUGGAAUUAGUGACUUUGACUAAGGAAAUUGUUAUGAGCUUCUCUAGCCAUUUCAACAAUUAAGAAAAGUCUAGGUAAUCUCAAGCUCCUUGGAUUACUAUAGCCAAAUUAAGGAUUUAAAUCAAAGUAUUGCACCAUUGGAUUCUAAUGAUAUGUUCAUCAAAAGUCAAAGUGAGGAAACUUUAAGUCAACCAUCUCUCCCUUAUUGAUUUUACAUCAAACUCUUAUUUUUGUUGCAUUUGUCUAUUUAAAUCAUAGUUAAUUCUAGUUUGUUUCAAGUAUUUCAAAACACCAAAACCCCCCAUUUUAUUUUUAUUGUCAUUUUACAAGUAUUUUUACAAAGAGAUUUUUCAUAGAGUUANUAUCGUCAUUUUACAGGCAUUUUUACAAAUAGAUUUUUCAUAGAGUUAUAAAUUGAACCAAUCUCCGUGGAUUCGAUCCCUUUACCACUAUACACUAUUUUAGUGUGUAAUAUAUAGGAUUAUUAUUUGUAUUGGCCUCGACAACCAUCAAAUUUUUUGGCGCCGUUGUCGGGGAUUCGUUUUGAUUUAAUCAGUUUGUUUCUCUAUGCCUAGAUCUCAUUGUGCAUGUACUCUAGUUUAAAACUCAAAAAUUGAAGAAAAAAGUGUGGUUCGGGAAUGAACACUCCUAGCAUUGAAGAUAUACUUUCUGAUCUAGCUCAGUUAGUUAUGAUGAUUGAAAGUGACCAAAGUGUGCAGCCCACACCUCUUCUUUGUGAUUUUUGUGCCCAAAAUGGACAUCAAUCCGACAUGUGUCCAUAUUUACAAGGAGAAUGGGAAGAAGUGCAAGAGAAGGGAAGCUACUACCGGUCAAACCAAUGGAGUUAUGAUCAGCCUCAACAUGAUCAAUGGUGGGACAACAACCAAGUUUGGGGAAAUAACCAUUACCAAAACCCAUACCAAACAUGGGGAAAUAACCAAUACCAACCAACUCCACUGUUCCAAGAACCCUAUCCUUACCCUCCUCAANAACCUAAAAUGCCAAGCAUGUCCUUAGAGGACAUUGUGAAGAGCAUUUCCACAUCUACCCAAAAUUACCAGGAAACAACGCAAGCUAGCCUCAAAAGAUUAGAGCAACAAAUAACACAACUUGCUCAAACAAUACGUAUAAUGCAAGAUCAAGACAAACUACCAUCUAAAGAGAGCCCGUGUGCCAUUCCUUUGAAAGAUGAGAAAAGUUUUGAUGGCCCAAGAGUGUUAUAUGGAGAAGACGAAGAAGGCGUAGAAAUGGAAGAAGUUAUCAAGGAGGAAGAAGAAAUUGAGAAAGAUGUCAAUGAAACUAUAGAGGAAGUGUUGGGUGUUAAAAAAAGAGAGGUUGAGCCACCCACUACCAUUGAGAAACUAACUCCAUUGGUAGACCAACCACAAGAGCCGGGAAUGAUAAAUAUGUCGGACCCUUUAAAGGAUACAUAUGUCGAGAAUGAAGACGCCCAACCGGUCACCAACUUCACCACCAUGUCAAAUAUGGAAGAGUUGGUCACCUUACUAAACAAGUACAAUAAAGAAUAUGAUUGGAUGCUUUCUAUUAUCAAAGGUCUAAGUCCGGUAUGUUUCUCCCGUAAAAAGAAAGUCAAAUACAAGAAAAGAGUCCCAAUGGAGGUGUGGAAACUAAAAAAUGUCGACACGGGGCAAAUUUUCAAUGUUAAUGGACAUCGGUUGAAACCUNAAGGUUUUGAUCAAAUGUCCACGAUGUCGUCCAUUUGGAUGCCCCAAAGUGUUAAAGUGAAGUUUGGAGGCGUCUCGGCAAAGACGUUAAAGAAGAGCAUUUUUGGGAAGCAUUGUGCUUUCGUCUUUUAUAAACCGAAUAAAAUGAUUUUGAAUUUUUUUUUGUUUUGAAAAUGUUCAUUUUUGAAAAAUUUCAAGCUUUAUUCUCACCUUUAGUCCAAACCUUUUAUUGUAUUUUUGAAACCAGGACUUCGCGGGAAUCAUUUAGGCCAAAAAUCAAGUUUUUUGAAAAAUUUCAAAUUUUAAGAUGCACGAAGUCACGCGGCCCGCGGGAAAAUCCACGCGGCCCGCGUAAGGUCAUGUGCGGCUUAUGUGCGGCCCAUUCCUUGCUCGCGUAAAACAAUCACCUCUAGCCCUGUUCAGCUCACACGACCAGCAUGCGGGUUCCAUGCGGCCCGCGAGGCUGGUUUCAACACUUAGUAUUUUUUGAGCUUCAGUUCACGCGGCCUUUACGCGGCCCGCGUGUUUUGACCCAAAAUUCUUCUGAACCUUCUGUGAACUCAAGAGGAAACCAAGAAUGUUACACGCGGCCUCUACGCGGCCCGCGCCCCGCCUGCGCUCCACACAAAAACUCGAUUUCCCGUAGAUCUCCCAUCGGAAUCCCGCGAGACCACCACCAUUAUUCACCAUUUUUCCUCCUCUACAAACCCUUAUGCUCUACCCAACCCUCUGAUUUAGGUCAUUUCCGCCCUUUCCUUAAGCAUUGAGGACAAUGCUUGUUCUUAAGCUUGGGGUGGGGCAUUUCCCUUUCUUUUAAUUUUUCAUUCAUUUUUCUUUAGUUAGGUUGCAUAACAUAUUAGUUUAAGUUAAUUUGCAUUAAUUUUUUAUUUUAUAAAAUUUCAAAAAGAUUUUAUUUUCUUCUUUUCCACUUUUUAUUUUUGCAUAACAUUGAGCUUAAGGCAUUAACAUUCUUGCAUUUUUGUUGUCUGUUUAUUCUCAACUCUCUUGGAUGCCAUGGAACAGGUUCACAGUUAUUGUAUCAUUAUUGGUCCAGGAUCUUGUUGCUACCUCACCCAUCGAACCGGGACCACUAGCUGCAGUUUGGGAUUUCAUACUUGGGAUCAGAUGCUGGUAGCUUAAAGGGGUAAGUGAUCAUGGCCAGGUAGUUUCAUGAAAAAUUAUGCAUACAAUACUAACAACUGUAGGAUAUACUAUAGCAAUGGAUGUUCUUAGCCUUGCGGUCACUACCGCCGAGAGGAUCACACUUGAUCAUGUUUGAACUGUUAGGAUGAAGCAUUGGUGCUUGUCCCCGAGUAGAAUCCAUAUCCGGUCUCUUUACAUCACCAUAUCUUUUUGCGAUUUUCUUAGAAUUUUAGAGAGUCUUUUAGUCCACAUUUGGACAUUUUCAUUAUCUUUGAAAAACCACAAGUUUGAAAAGGAGCUUACAUUACAUCUUUAUGCUCCACACAUGGUCAUUUUCACACUUAGGCCAUUCGGAUUAUAUCAUUACCCUUUCGGUUCCACUUACACACCUUUGGGAACCAAAUUUUGAGUCAAAGGGUUUCUUGUUAAAAAUUUCGAUAGUUAAUACAUUACCUUCAAGUAUUAAAAAAAAGAAAAAGAGAAGCAUGCAAAUUUUCAGUUGCAACUAUCUUAGAUAGGUGGCCGGUUCAAUUAUUGAACAAAUUUCCCAACAUCUUGGUCACCCGGCGUUUGAUAUUCAUUUGUAUAGGUCUGUUUUAUUGUAUAUAGAUCGAGUUGUUUUUUUUUCGCAAAUUGGUGAUGUUAGGGAGACUGUCGAGUCGGAUACUACGGGAGGUUUGGGCCAACACUAAGUGAACCGAUUCCUACAACGGUGCCCGAGCGAUUAAACCUAGUUACACAUGAGAGAAACCGGAAGACGUGAGAUCAAAGUGUGCACUUAAAGAAGAGCUCCACCCGAGCCCAUCCAGUUGCUUUCUCCCUACUACAGAUGUUCUUCGUUGUAUGCAUGUUCCAUUGAGGCUGCGCCUGCUCAUCCCUCCUUACUCACCUAAAGGAGUUGUCUUGGCUGUUGUUUAUGGUUCCAUUGUCAUCAGAUGAAAAAGUUGUGAGAUAGCAGCGAGAUCAAUUCUGACCAUGUUGACUAACGUCGAACAGGUUCCAUGGUUCUAUCCAUUCUUUUUAAUUCUAGGGUAGUUCGUCCCAAGUUCAUUUUAGUCUUGUCUUACUUGAGGACAAGUAAGGUUUAAGCUUGGGGUGAUUUGAUAGCUUCAUUUUAUUUACUUCUUUUUAUAGUUUAUUUUAGCACAUUUCAUUCGCAUUUUAGUUAAUUUCCAUGCAUAUUUUCCCUUUUGUUAUUUUUAUGACCNGACCAUUUCGGGUACUUUCUAGUUUCUUGAGCAUUAUUGCAGAUUUUAAGGAAACUAGAGGAGCGGGAGUGAUAGGGAACUUUUGGGAGGCGAUUGGACUUAAAGAGCAAUGGGGAUUUCGUGCUUGAUGAUUGUGGAGGUGAUUCAUGGAGUGGGCUUGUCGAUUGCUUGAAGGCGCAUAAGUGUUAAACUUUAAAUUUAAAAGGGCGCAAAAGAAUUCUUGAGUGUGCAAGAUCGAUGUUUAGGAGUUUGCGGAAGUUUUGAGUGAUGUGGAAAGACAAAUUGGGCUCAAAUUGAAGAAAUAUUGAAGAAAAAUGGGCUAGAAGCUGAUUGGACUCGAACUGGGCCAAUGGAUUAGCUGUGGGGGCCCAAGACUUGAAGAAGCCCAAAAUUCCCGUCAGAGCCCGCGGCCCGCGUAAGAUUCCCCGCGGCCCGCCUGGAUUCCUGACACGGGCAAUUUCGGGAUUUUGCUAAGAGCUCUAUAUUGGGAAGGUGGGUGUGCCUCUUUAGCCUGAUCUUGAAGGUCCGAGUUUGACUUGUUCUCUCUGGAGUUUGGAGUGCUUUUGAAGGCCAAGAACACCUCAAGAACAUCUUGAUUUCACCUCUUGAUUAUUGUAAAAUGUUUGGUACAAUUUCCUCUAACUUUGUUUCUUUGAGUUUAGCCAUGCUUGGCUAAACUAAUCUUGGUUGACUUUUUGUUGAAUCCUUUGAACUUUUGUUGAAUGUUGAAGAAUCCAUGAACUUGUUCUUAAAUCUUUAUGGAAAUGUUUUGUGUUUUAUCAUAUUAUCACUACUAGUAUGUUUUUAUUCAUGAGUUUAAAUGUGUUUGUGGUGAUUAGUUGGCUAAUUUCUUGAUUAAGUAAAUGAUCCUCAAAUUAGCAAGCAACAAAUGAUUUUUGUGUUGUUUUUGCUUCACACAAUCAUAAAAACAUUUCCUCCAACAUGGUGGUGAAAGCAUUUGACCCCUCUUGGAUUUGGUGACUUUUUGGUUCUUAAUGCUAGUUGACUUUCACUAAUUACAUGCUAUUUGGAAUUAGUGACUUUGACUAAGGAAAUUGUUAUGAGCUUCUCUAGCCAUUUCAACAAUUAAGAAAAGUCUAGGUAAUCUCAAGCUCCUUGGAUUACUAUAGCCAAAUUAAGGAUUUAAAUCAAUGUAUUGCACCAUUGGAUUCUAAUGAUAUGUUCAUCAAAAGUCAAAGUGAGGAAACUUUAAGUCAACCAUCUCUCCCUUAUUGAUUUUACAUCAAACUCUUAUUUUUGUUGUAUUUGUCUAUUUAAAUCAUAGUUAAUUCUAGUUUGUUUCAAGUAUUUCAAAACACCAAAACCCCCCAUUUUAUUUUUAUCGUCAUUUUAUAGGUAUUUUUACAAAGAGAUUUUUCAUAGAGUUAUAAAUUG
rnacentral:lncRNA from 1 species